GUAAGUCNGNAUGUGAAAUCCCGGGGCUCNACCCCGGAACUGCAUCUGAUACUGCCGUGCUAGAGUAAUGGAGAGGUAGCUGGAAUUAUCGGUGUAGCAGUGAAAUGCGUAGAUAUCGAUAGGAACACUCGUGGCGAAAGCGAGCUACUGACAUUUACUGACGCUGAGGCUCGAAGGCUAGGGUAGCGAAAGGGAUUAGAUACCCCUGUAGUCCUAGCAGUAAACGGUGCACGCUUGGUGUGAGGGGAAUCGACCCCCCUUGUGCCGGAGCUAACGCGUUAAGCGUGCCGCCUGGGAAGUACGGUCGCAAGACUAAAACUCAAAGAAAUUGACGGGGACCCGCACAAGCGGUGGAGUAUGUGGCUUAAUUCGAUGCAACGCGAAGAACCUUACCAAGGCUUGACAUGCAUCUCUAAACACGUGAAAGCGUGUGACCCUUCGGGGAAUUUGCACAGGUGCUGCAUGGCCGUCGUCAGCUCGUGUCGUGAGAUGUUGGGUUAAGUCCCGCAACGAGCGCAACCCUUGUGAUUAGUUGCCAGCACGUAAUGGUGGGGACUCUAGUCAGACUGCCCAGAUCAACUGGGAGGAAGGUGGGGACGACGUCAGGUCAGUAUGGCCCUUACGCCUUGGGCUGCACACGUACUACAAUGCCCAGCACAAUAAGAACCGAUACCGCGAGGUGGAGGAAAUCUAUAAAACUGGGCCCAGUUCGGAUUGGAGGCUGCAACUCGCCUCCAUGAAGUUGGAAUCGCUAGUAAUGGGGCAUCAUCUACGGCCCCGUGAAUACGUUCCCGGGUCUUGUACACACCGCCCGUCACAUCAUGGAAGCUGGUCGCACCCGAAGUGCUCGCGCCAACCGCAAGGAGGCAGAGCCCUAAGGUAAGGCUGGUAACUGGGAUGAAGUCGUAACAAGGUAACCAAGGGCGAA
rnacentral:rRNA from 1 species